rnacentral:rRNA from 1 species
UACGGGGGGAGCAAGCGUUGUUCGGAUUUACUGGGCGUAAAGGGUGUGUAGGCGGUCUUCUAAGUUUGGUGUGAAAUCUCCCGGCUCAACUGGGAGGGUGCGCCGAAAACUGGGAGGCUAGAGUGCGGGAUGGGAGAGUGGAAUUCCUGGUGUAGCGGUGAAAUGCGUAGAUAUCAGGAGGAACACCUGUGGUGUAGACGGCUCUCUGGACCGCAACUGACGCUGAGACACGAAAAGCGUGGGUAGCAAACAGG